rnacentral:rRNA from 1 species
UACGGAGGGUGCAAGCGUUAUCCGGAUUCACUGGGUUUAAAGGGUGCGUAGGCGGGCAGGUAAGUCCGUGGUGAAAUCUCUGAGCUUAACUCAGAAACUGCCAUGGAUACUAUUUUGUCUUGAAUUAUCUGGAGGUAAGCGGAAUAUGUCAUGUAGCGGUGAAAUGCUUAGAUAUGACAUAGAACACCAAUUGCGAAGGCAGCUUACUACGGAUCGAUUGACACUGAGGCACGAAAGCGUGGGGAUCAAACAGG